AACACAUGCAAGUCGAGCGGAAACGAUUCUAGCUUGCUAGAAGGCGUCGAGCGGCGGACGGGUGAGUAAUGCAUGGGAAUCUGCCCGAUAGUGGGGGACAACCUGGGGAAACUCAGGCUAAUACCGCAUACGUCCUACGGGAGAAAGCAGGGGAUCUUCGGACCUUGCGCUAUCGGAUGAGCCCAUGUCGGAUUAGCUAGUUGGUGAGGUAAUGGCUCACCAAGGCGACGAUCCGUAGCUGGUCUGAGAGGAUGAUCAGCCACACUGGGACUGAGACACGGCCCAGACUCCUACGGGAGGCAGCAGUGGGGAAUAUUGGACAAUGGGCGCAAGCCUGAUCCAGCCAUGCCGCGUGUGUGAAGAAGGCCUUCGGGUUGUAAAGCACUUUCAGCGAGGAAGAAAGCUUCUGGAUUAAUACUCUGGAGGAAGGACAUCACUCGCAGAAGAAGCACCG
rnacentral:rRNA from 1 species